rnacentral:lncRNA from 1 species
AACAUGGAUAUAAUUUUAUUCGGAAAUUUAGGAAAAACAGAAAAUAAUAAAUAUAAAAAACUUAAUAAUACUUUUAUCAAAAUUCUUUAUCUAUAGAACAAAACUGUGUGAAAAUCAAGUAAAUUUUGCAGGGCUGAAAAACUAUCUAAAAGAAAAUCUAAUACUAGAAAAGAAUAUAUUUUUUAAAACAAAGCCUCUUCACAUUGCCAACCUCUACUGGGACCCCUGGCUUCCAUUAUUAGAAUAAUUUACACUUAAGCAACUUAAUUAGCAUUACCCUAUGUAAUGUUAUUGUGCAUUUUAUUUUAGCCUUCUCACACCAACAUAUAUGUUUUUAUAUAAUAUACUGUUAUAUGUUGUUUAUUGUUUAUUGUCUUUUGUUCUUGUUUUGUGCCUAAAAUGCAUAUACAUUCUCUAAUAUCUAUUUUGUGUUUGUAUGAAUUAUUUACAAUGGAAAACCAACUUUGCCAAAUUUAUUUAAUGUUGUAUCUUAAAAAAAAAAUACUGCUGCCAAAUUCCAAAUUUCAAGGACUUUUUAUUUUUUAUUUUUAAUUUUUUUUCUCUAGUUUUUAUUUUUUGUUUUUGUUUUGCUUUUGUGUUUUAUUUAUUUAUUAUUUUCUCUUCUCUUCUCACUUUCUCUCUUAAAUAAAAUUCUCACUUUAUUGAUCAACAUUGAAAUAAUUGAUACACAAUAUACUGUAUAUAUAUUUUAUAAUUUUGAAUACUAACAAUUACUAACAAUUUUUCUAAAUAUACAAUCUAAUGUUUAACGAGGCCGGGAUAAGGUACCGGUACUUUCUGUAUCAAACUAACAAAU